ensembl:lncRNA
GAAUAAGUUAAAAGAUCAGAAUGAGAAGCUCUAGGCUUCGCUUGUAGCUCAGUUGGUAAAGAGUCUGACUGCUAUGCAGGAGACCUGGGUUUGAUCCCUGGGUCAGGAAGAUUCCCUGGAGAAGGAAAUGGCAACUCGCUCCAGUAUUCUUGCCUGAAGAAUCCCAUGGACAAAGGAGCCUGGCAGGCUACAGUCUAUGAGGUCACAAGAGUGACACAACUGAGCGACUAAGCACACAGCAUACAGCACGCACCCAGUCAGCAGGAGGUAGGAUGAGGAAGUAGAAGAAAGAAAAGCUGAGAGUCACAGCAGCUAGAAAUAGAAGAGACAUUAUGUAAAUACCAGAAAGCUCAGGGGAGAAAAAUGGAAUGAAAUAGUUAAAGAAAUAAGAAAAAUGUAACAGGAUUUUUGGAAAUUUCAAGACCUUAGAAUGACAAGGGCUGGUAGAGCACCAAACAAGAAGAAUAAGGAAAGCCUCCCACAGGGCCUAGCAAAGAGAAGUGGUGGACUUUACUAUCUUCCAGAAAGAAAGAGCAGCUCAUCUACAAGGAAAGAAGAAUAAGAUUGGCAUCAGAUUUCUCCACAGCAACAGUGGAUGGAAGAAAAAUUAGUGUGUUUAAGAACGGAAACAGCUCCUUCUGUGAAAGCACUUUUGAAGCUGAUUUGUAUGUACACCUACAUUGUGAGCCACAGAUAUUUUAUUUUCAAGAAAAACAUGCUCUACAAACUCUUUCCCAACCUGUGUCAUUAAGCAAAAGCAGUUGCUUUAUUCACCACCAACCUCUGCCUGAGAUCUUUUGAAUGCAGCUUCAAAGAUAUUUCUGUUCAAUUUCAGUUUCCAAUCAACCACUGGAGUAAUCUAUCUAAACUGCACUUCC